CCUACGGGCGGCAGCAGUGGGGGAUAUUGCACAAUGGGGGAAACCCUGAUGCAGCGACGCCGCGUGAGGGAAGAAGGAUUUCGGUACGUAAAGCUCUAUCAUCGGUGAAGAAAAUGACGGUAACUGACUAAGAAGCCCCGGCUAACUACGUGCCAGCAGCCGCGGUAAUACGUAGGGGGCAAGCGUUAUCCGGAUUUACUGGGUGUAAAGGGAGCGUAGACGGCAGCGCAAGUCUGGAGUGAAAGCCCAUGGCUUAACCAUGGAACUGCUUUGGAAACUGUGGAGCUAGAGUGCAGGAGAGGUAAGCGGAAUUCCUGGUGUAGCGGUGAAAUGCGUAGAUAUCAGGAGGAACACCAGUGGCGAAGGCGGCUUACUGGACUGUAACUGACGUUGAGGCUCGAAAGCGUGGGGAGCAAACAGGAUUAGAUACCCUAGUAGUC
rnacentral:rRNA from 1 species